rnacentral:snoRNA from 2 species
CCCCUCUCAGGGUCACACCUGGAGAGUUUCCAGUACUCUACCAGUCUCGACUAUGGGAGGGAAAGUCAAUUAGAGGCAUACCCUAUUCUACUCCUAGCUUGGGCAGUGGCUAGAGAAUGGAAGGUAAUCUGCUACAAGU